rnacentral:snRNA from 1 species
GCCGGAGGUAGGGUCCAGCGG